rnacentral:rRNA from 1 species
UACGGGGGGGGCAAGCGUUGUUCGGAAUUACUGGGCGUAAAGGGCGCGUAGGCGGCCUGCUAAGUCGGAUGUGAAAUCCCUCGGCUCAACCGAGGAACUGCAUCCGAUACUGGCGGGCUUGAAUCCGGGAGAGGGAUGUGGAAUUCCAGGUGUAGCGGUGAAAUGCGUAGAUAUCUGGAGGAACACCGGUGGCGAAGGCGGCAUCCUGGACCGGUAUUGACGCUGAGGCGCGAAAGCCAGGGGAGCAAACGGG